rnacentral:sRNA from 1 species
AUGUACCCACGUACAUUCCGGUUCCGAGCGCCGUCCGCACCCACCUGACGACUGCUCGCUACGUUUUGUUAGCC